AUGGCCAAUCUCAGGGAGCUAAAUACAAAGGGGAUCUCGUGGAAGACUAUGAGUCAUGGUUGGAAAAAGCUACAGAAGCUUCACAAGCUCCGGGUAACCGGAUCUUCAGAUGUGGUUACGGUGGACAGUUGCUCUUUUGUAGAUAUGAUGAACUUGGAGCUUCUUGACUUAUCUGGCAACACUCACAUGGAAUCACUACCGACGUUGUCAUCGGCAAAAACCUUGAAGAUGCUUUCUCUUGAUGGUUGUUCCAACUUGGAGCAUGUUGCACUGGCCAUGGAAGAAGCACCACCACUGCUUGAAAGCUUUAGCUUCGAUGGUUAUUGUCUCGCAGAGAAUUGGUCACAUCCUGUACAUCUGCCCCAAGAGGACAUGCGCCUCAAAGAUCCUAUAGCUCCAAUUAAAAUAGCCAAGGUGACCAAGAUCUCCCUACACGGUUGUGGAAGAUUGCGAAACAUAUUCCUUCGUGGAUUGCCCAAUCUGGAGAAACUGGACCUCUCUGGUACAGCCAUUAAAUCACUUGACCUCCAUUUCACUAUAAUAGAUUUCCCGAAACUCAAGAAGCUAUUCCUACAGGGCUGUGAGCAUCUCCGUUGUCUAAGAUGGAAGUGGUGUCAGAGGUUGGAAGUUCUACAUGUGGACACGCAUGGGGAGAAAAGAUCAAUGGUCUGCUGUGAAGGACAGAGAUCAUUUGUCUUUCAGGCAUGUAUUGCAUUUUCAGAUGGAAGGUUCAUUUGGUCGGCCCUUGAUGGAAUCUAUACAUGGCUAGGAGGUCACUUCAAGUUCUACCUCCUUAUCUCUUGUACAAGCCAUAGCCAAGCCAAUAUCACCAGAAGUAUCCAAGGUAUUGGCUCUAGCCAAGAGGAUAAUUUGGUUGCAACAAGGUCGCUGUUACCAUAUGAUGAUAUCCCCCUUGCUGAAGAUGUAACUUGCUCGUCCUUAGUGUGGUACUGUCGCCAGGUUCAAACUUUCGAUCUGCAUAUCGAGAUUGGUGAAGGAAGCUACAAUUUAGGGAGUAUGGAGGGUAGUGAAAAUUUCAGAGCUUUCGUGCUCCAUGUUCAGUCAUUGCAUGUGCAUGACAAUUCCUCCAUCACUGCUUUCCCAGGAGUACAUUGGAGCAGACUAGAAUGGUGUCAUGUUGAGAGGUGCCCCAGGCUACACUCCUUGUUUUCUUCCCGGGGUGGAUAUGGUAUGAAGACGUUUUCAGCGUCGGAUCUCCUCGUGGCCUAUUGCAUCUGGCCUAGUGAUACUUAUCACCAACAGCUGCAGCACAUAUACCUCUACAAUUGCCCCAGGCCGGUGUUCGCCUUCCCCAUUUGCCGCACCUUGCCCAGCCUGGAGACCCUCCAAAUUGCGUACUGCAGUAACCUCCGGCAUGUUUUCCCAACGGACCACGAGUUCCCUGAGGAUGAGGAAAUAGCAUCUGGUGUCACAUUCCACAACCUGAAGUACAUCAAGCUACACCAUCUUCACAAGUUGGAGCAGAUAUGUGAGGCCAGAUUGACUGCACCUGCGUUGCAGACGGUCGGCAUCAGGGACUGCUGGGGUCUCAGGCGCCUUCCGGCUGUAGCGCGUGAAGGCCCAAAGCCGGUGGUGGACUGUGAGAAGGACUUGUGGGACAACCUCGAGUGGGAUGGCCUGGAUGCCGGACAUGACCCGUCGCUCUUCGAAAUGCACCACUCGGCCUACUACAAGAAAACCCUCCCAAGGGGCUCCUACCUAAGGUAA
rnacentral:rRNA from 1 species